rnacentral:rRNA from 1 species
UGGGGAAUAUUGGACAAUGGGGGAAACCCUGAUCCAGCAAUGCCGCGUGUGUGAAGAAGGCCUGCGGGUUGUAAAGCACUUUCGGUGGGGAGGAGAGGCUUAGAGUUAAUACCUCUAAGCGGAGACGUUACCCACAGAAGAAGCACCGGCUAACUCUGUGCCAGCAGCCGCGGUAAUACAGAGGGUGCAAGCGUUAAUCGGAAUUACUGGGCGUAAAGGGUGCGUAGGUGGUUACAUAAGUUAGGUGUGAAAGUCCAGGGCUUAACCUUGGGACUGCGCCUAAUACUGUGUGGCUAGAGUACUGUAGAGGAAGGUGGAAUUUCCAGUGUAGCGGUGAAAUGCGUAGAUAUUGGAAGGAACAUCAGUGGCGAAGGCGACUUUCUGGACAGAUACUGACACUGAGGCACGAAAGCGUGGGGAGCAAACAGGAUUAGAUACCCGAGUAGUCCCUGAGCGGGCUGGCAAGGCGCAU